CUACGGGUUGCUGCAGUGGGGAAUAUUGGACAAUGGGGGAAACCCUGAUCCAGCAAUGCCGCGUGUGUGAAGAAGGCCUGCGGGUUGUAAAGCACUUUCGGUUGGGAGGACUGCUUCUAGCACUAAUAUUGUUGGAAGUUGACGUUACCUUCAGAAGAAGCACCGGCUAACUCCGUGCCAGCAGCCGCGAUAAUACGGAGGGUGCAAGCGUUAAUCGGAAUUACUGGGCGUAAAGCGCGCGUAGGCGGCUAGAUCAGUCGGGUGUGAAAGCCCCGGGCUUAACCUGGGAACUGCAUCCGAUACUGUCUAGCUUGAGUACAGGAGAGGAGAGUGGAAUUCCACAUGUAGCGGUGAAAUGCGUAGAUAUGUGGAGGAACACCAAUGGCGAAGGCAGCUCUCUGGCCUGAUACUGACGCUGAAGUGCGAAGGCGUGGGGAGCAAACAGGAUUAGAUACCCGCGUAGUC
rnacentral:rRNA from 1 species